rnacentral:rRNA from 1 species
AUGGCGGCCGCGGGAGAUCCUCUCCAAGGUCAAGCACGUCCAGGCCAAGCCUGCUGGCCGCCCUCGCGGGUGACUGCCUCCGCGCUGACGACGGCGGCCUCGUCGUCCCGGGAGGCCGCGGCGCCCCUUAAGGCCGACCUCCGCCACGUGUUCCAGAUGCAUGCACGAGUUGACCUGGACAAGCCGCCGGUGCUGCAGGAGGAGGCGGAUUUCUUCAGUGGCCACGGAAUCAAGGACUUCACCUUCAGCAGGGGCAGGCUGUCAGAAUGGCGUUGCCGGGCAAAGCUAGCGGUACACGGAACACCAGAGAAACCACUGAUUGGCCUGUAUCAGGAAGGGACACAUACUGUUCAAGAUAUUCUCAAUUGCAGAGGUAGGACAGGAGGAACAUCGACAAGCGACGGGAUGAAGCCCGGCCAUGGAAACCCACCGCAGCCUUCAAGACCUCGGCAGCGGUCGGUGCUAUGGGGAUCCUGA